GUGUAUUUGCCAGGCCUAUUGUAACGGAGUAAAAAGAGUUGCUAGUUAAAUUAUAUUAAAAUUGAUGCAAUUAUGCCAUCUAGAGGCAGGUUGAUUUAGUGUGACAGUGGGAUUCGCGUUGCAUUUACCCAGACUGGAGAUUACGAGAUACUGGGUAAGUCACGCAAUUUGGGAGGUCUGGGAUAAACAAUGUUUUCUUGUAAUUCUAAGUACAUAUGUCUCGUAUUUUGUCAUGUAAUGUACUUAUAAUGAUUUCAGUUAACUAUUUUGAGUUCAGUUGAUGAUUUAUGUGUCUUGUAAAGUCAUGUUUAAGAGACUUGCAACGAAGCAUAUUUUCAUGUGAACUAGCGUGCUAAUUGUCACUUGCUUUACAUGUUAUUUAGAUUGUUGUCCCGAGAUCUAUUUGCUGAACCCACAAUUCCACACUGUCAUACUUUGUUCCAGGUAACUAUUCUUAUGUUGUGUAAAUGGUUUCAUCGUCAUGUUAUUCUCAUUGUGCAAGCUGCCUUAUACAUUAGCUUUAUAUGGAUAAGCAGCUUGCGCUAGCUUAGCUAUAUUGUAGACCAGCGUGGUAGUUUGGAGAUUAGCCACAUGUGCUCGAGUGCUGCGUUUGCAAUGAUAAACAUGUUCCUUAUUUUGUUAUUUCAAUAUAAUGUAAAAUGGAUCAAGUAGUUUCACUAUUGUAAUGUUGAAAUGUACUGUAUGUAUGUUGUGUAAUUCAAGGCUUAUAUCAGAUAUUCUAAAACUUAGCUACUAUACGAUCACACACAGUUUUAUUUUGUUUCAUAGAUAUAUCAUUUACAUUUGCAACUAGCACAAAUAUAUUCAGGUAUUUGUAGGCUAUAGCAUUUA